CAGCCGCCGCGGUAAUACGAAGGGUGCAAGCGUUAAUCGGAAUUACUGGGCGUAAAGCGUGCGUAGGCGGUUUGUUAAGUCUGCUGUGAAAUCCCCGGGCUCAACCUGGGAAUGGCAGUGGAUACUGGCAAGCUAGAGUGUGUCAGAGGAUGGUGGAAUUCCCAGUGUAGAGGUGAAAUUCGUAGAUAUUGGGAAGAACACCGGUGGCGAAGGCGGCAACCUGGCUCAUUACUGACGCUGAGGCGCGAAAGCGUGGGGAGCAAACAGGAUUAGAUACCCGCGUAGUCCCUGUCUCUUAUAC
rnacentral:rRNA from 1 species